UAAGGUGGUUAUUGCGGCGGGGCUCACCUCUUCCCAUUCCGAACAGAGAAGUUAAGCCCGCCUGCGCAGAUGGUACUGCAAUUUGUGGGAGAGUAUGUCGCCGCCUUCU
rnacentral:rRNA from 1 species